rnacentral:rRNA from 1 species
GACGAACGCUGGCGGCGUGCUUAACACAUGCAAGUCGAACGGAAAGGCCCUGCUUUUGUGGGGUGCUCGAGUGGCGAACGGGUGAGUAACACGUGAGUAACCUGCCCUUGACUUUGGGAUAACUUCAGGAAACUGGGGCUAAUACCGGAUAGGAGCUCCUGCUGCAUGGUGGGGGUUGGAAAGUUUCGGCGGUUGGGGAUGGACUCGCGGCUUAUCAGCUUGUUGGUGGGGUAGUGGCUUACCAAGGCUUUGACGGGUAGCCGGCCUGAGAGGGUGACCGGGGACCAUGGGGACGAGAUACGGCCCAGUCGCCUACGGGAGGCAGCAGGGGGGAAUAGUGCAGAAUGGGGGGAAGCCUGAUGCAACAGCCCCGCGUGCGGGAUGAAGGGCUUCGGGGUGUAAACCGCUUUCGACUGUGACGAAGCGUGAGUGACGGUAAUGGGUAAAGAAGCACCGGCUAACUACGUG